ensembl:lncRNA
CCAGCACUUAGGAUUGGAAGCUUAGUUGCCAACUCUACACUAGGAUGCCCCAUGGAGGCCAGGAAGUCCAGAAGAUCAACCGUGUGAAUUUGGAAGUCAACAAGGACUGUGACAGGAGCCGCUGGAGAAAGUGACAGGGAAUCAGGAGUGAACCUUCAGAAGACUCCCCCACUACUUUUCCUGCCCAGUGGCCAACAGUGGUCCCUAGAGAUGCCCCUGGGACCAUCAGCCUACUGGGACUUGGCCAACUCAAGCCUGGAUCUAGGAGGACAGAUAGUUGGCCUUGGAUAGCUGCAAAAGUCACCUCGUCAGAUGGACAGCCAGUGCGGGAAGCUCCUGUGACUCUGUGAAUGCCAGAGAAAGGAAGGAACAAGGUGCUGCUGGCGGCGAGGGUCAGAUGCGCAGGCUGCGCGGAGGUCCAAGGCCCCCGCGGGAUCCGCGGAAGGCGGAGGCUCGCCGGUUCUUCGUGAGCGCAUAAGGGCCCCUCGCGAAUUUUCCUUUCAGACUUCUCGCGGUCUCCGCUCGGCCUGAAGGUGAGCCUCGCGCCUCCGCCCUCCCGGAGAGGCCCCCUCCC